UGGCCUUGAGUGCCUCCAGGGAUGGGGCACCAUGGCUUCUCUGGGCUGGAAUUUCCACCUAACAUCUAAACUAAACGUCUCCUCUUUUAGUUUAAAGCCAUCCCCCCCCCUUGUCCUAUCAAUGUCAGAAUGCGUAAAAAGGUCCCCCUCCUCCUUAUAAGAUCUCUUCAAGUACUGGAAGGUCACAGCGAGGUCUCCCAGUAGCCUUCUCCGGACUGAAUAAGCUCUUCCAUCUUCACGGCCCUCCUCUGGACCCACUCCAGACAUUUCCACACCUAGUUAAACAGCCAACCAACAAAACAAAGUAAAACAAAGAAAAGAGAGAUGUAUUUCUAAAACGUUUGCGGAAGGCAGAGCUCCCUUCCCUCACAGAGGAACACCACUGGAGGCAAAAUCCCAUGGCUGGUGCCACAAGUCACACCCAGACAGACAGACAUACUCUGGGGGUAGCGGGUGCUCUCCUCCAAAACACUCACACCUCCUCUGGCUGCAAUUUCAUAGAAUCAUAGAAUCAUUGAAGUCAGAAAAGACCACUAGUCUGACCCCAGCCCACCCCCACCGUGCCCACUGACCACGUCCCUCAGUGCCACAUCCACAUGGUUCUUGAACGCCUCCAGAGACAGUGACUCCACCCCUUCCAUGGGCAGCUGUGCCACUGCAGCACUACUCCUGAGAAGCUCCUUCUUUCCUAACGCCCAACCUGAGCCUCCCCUGGCACGACUUAAAGCCCUCAAGCCUACAGCCCGGUUGCUGCGCUACCCCACAGCAGGUGCUAUUAGAGCCAUGCCAAAGCAGAAAUGCUGUCACCGGGUCAGAUCACUUUUGAAAGUUCUCUUAAUAUCUGCUUCGUUUUAUAGGGCAGUGAAGUCAACUCUCGGUGUUAUAUCCUUGGAGCAUUUGUAACUUUUACCCUGGCUAUGUUCUUUGGAUGGAAGUGCCCUCAGAGCCCUCUGGCAGGUCUGCCACAGCCCCUCAUGUAGCCCUGCUCCUGUACUCCUGAGACCAUCAGUGCAACAGCUGCACCACCUUUGUCUUCUAAGUGCAGUUUCGGAUAAUGGCAUUGAUCCGUUGUGUUCUUUAUUCUCCCAGAAACCAAUAAUGAGCAUUCUGCUUGAGGCAGAGAUGAAUAUAGAAGCACGGUCCUCGCCUGGUCUACAUCACGUGUGAUAGAUAAAGGGUAGAGCCGGGGAAGGAGGAAAUGGAGAAGGACAACAGUCAUGGGGGGGCUCCCUCUGCAGAAAGAAAUCUGUUUUGAUUGGCAUUUUGGAAGUAUUUUAUUCCCACUUAACGAAGACCGGGAAAGAAAUGAAGAAUGAGAACAGGAUGGCUGGGAAUCAGCGUGGCGACAAAUGGUUGAAAAGGUCCUGAAUUUCACAUAAGCAGGAUUCAAGACUUUCAGAUUAUUUUUCAUGUGUAUUUAUUACAGUUUACCCCGUGUUCUGUUACUGCACGGGAUGCAGUAAGCACCUUCAUAAUGUCACAGUCUGGGUGGCAGUGAAUCGUUGGCUCCCCUGGGGAAGGUCCUGGGUGCAGGGAAGUUGGCAGUGCCUCCAGGUCCCAGCACGGUCCUGUGAGCUGCAGGGGCAGAUCUUGGCCAGGAGCAGCUGUCACUGCUCCAUUGAGCUGAUGAAUCUGUGACAUCGGUAAGGAACGAGCCCUAUAACUUUGGCUGCGAACACCGAUGACAGAGCAUUGAUGUGACCAUCCACAAAAAGAGGAUUCUAAGAUCCGCCUGCUGGGGAGCUGGGGCAGAGUAAGGGGUCCUUUUCUACAAAUGCUUUUCAGUCUUAUGGAAGUUUGCCACAGACUUCUGCCAGCAUGUGCUUGUUCAUGGUGUGGUGGUAACCCUUCCACACUUUGAGUGCAGUGCAAACAGCAGGUAGAGAGAAAGAAGAUGAAACUAGAUCAUUCGGUGGGGUUGAAGAGCUGAAGAGGCUUGGAAGGGAUCCUGAUUUACAACUGCGUGAGUCCUCAAUGCACUGGGAACGUUUGAUACAGCCGUAAACCUGGAUCAGUCCAGGUUUGCAUGGCAAAUCACCUUCUCUAUCUGGCAGUGCAAGUGUUACCCUCUGCUGGUCCCUCUCGCUGUUUUUGGGUGCAGGGGUUGUGCUGCUGGCCCCACGCAGCACAGCUCAGUGUGAGCAGCUGUCGGCUUCACCAGGCUUGUAAGUGCUCCCUGGGCUAUUUUUGCAACAUACCACGUGAGCUUAUGGGGUUUUUAUUUUUAGUCCUACAGUAUGAUUUGUUGACGACUUGUAUUUUGCAUGCAGUUGGUAUUGAAGCGCCAAGGUGAUAGAGGCCAUUUAAUGAUCUGCCAAUAUAUGUUGCAGUCAAUAAAUGUUACAGUCAAUAAAUGUCACCAUUUGCCUUACAGUCAGCGUCUGCACCCUCUCAGCCCUCGUGAUCACAUAUUUAUCUUAUAUCCAUUUUGGCUGUAGGUUUCUGUAUCGCUGCUGGUUCACCUCAGUAUUGCUCCUACCACUCUCAGUCAGCAGCACCAAGUUCCCCAAGUGCCCCUUCUGAAAGAAACCCCAUGGAAAAUGAACCAUUCCUGUAGAAUUCUUGCUGAAGAUCUACCUACUUGGCUUAGUGAAGCUUCACCUGCCCAGAUUAAAAAGUUUACUCUGAUGCUGUUAUCCAGCAUCAGGAGAAGGAUGGCGGGCCACCUUUUUUUGCAGAUUAAAACUGCAGUCACCUGCUGGAGAUGGGCUAUGGAGAUGGUUAUUUGGCUCAGCACUUUGCCUUUCUCUCUGUGAGCUCCCAGUGCUCAAUAAACUGUGCAUUUUUCCUCAGCUUUUGUAGCCCUGUUUGCAGCAAUUAUCAUUCUCGGCGCUUUUCAUUUUAGCCAAGUGACUCUGCAAAGUAUGCUCUGAUGAAGUGGCAGUCAGGCGACAAGCAGCUCAGCAAACAAGAUCUUCCAGAGGCCUUGAAUCCCGAUGAUGUGGAAACAUAUAAAAGCCAAGGUAUAUACUCAGAGUCACACCACAGCUGCUUGGAGAGGAGAAACAAGAGAGUCUCUAGCAAGUUGGAUUGCACAGAAUUCUAGUGUUUGCGUACUGCUGUCAUUUAGCACCUUUUGGGUUAGACCUCCUUAAUUUCUCCUGCAGUAUCUCGGAGUCCGGUGUGAAAAUGACCCUUGUCAGCAGAGGCCAGGCCUUCACUGAUGAGUGGCCUUGUGAUAAUCCCAUGCUUCCAACAAAGCAAUGGGAUAUUCUUGCUUUUAAGCACGGUAACUAGGCCAUAAAACAUUAUAAGAACCCUGGGCUGAGGAUUGCCUGAGGUUUUUUUCUCCUUUUUCUCUGUUGAUAUUUCCUAAGCUCCCAGUGGAGAGUUUCUGCAUUUAUGUCAAGUAUAUUUUGAAAGACAGCGCUACAAUCAUUGCUUCAGCAUCAUUCAGCUGGUUUCCAGCAGGCAUAUUCCAUCUCCUUAUCAGAUACAAUUACAAAAGGGAAAUGGCGUAGGGAAGAUAAAAUCUCUUUUUAAAUUAAGCAAAAUAAGCUUUUCAUUGUUUGGCUUGGAUUUUGUAGGGCACUUCCAAAACACUGAAGAUCUCUUUUUAUUUCCAGCAUAUUACCUGUGAUGGCUGGACGUGAAGGUAUUUAUAAGCAUACAUUACAUUAAUCAGUGACUACUGCAAUGGAUUGGCUCUGCAUUUCCUUUCUGAUCUGAGGAGUGUUCAGUCCCUUCUCUGCUCACUGAUCAGUGAAACAGGCCAUGAUAAAAGCUGUGUGAGAAAGCUUCCUUCUGUACUAAUUGGAUGAAACUUGGAAACCAGAGGCUUUACUGGGAGCGCUGCCUAUUUUCCUCAUAAUUAUUUGCAUAUUCAGUUUAACAGCAAAACAAGUCUAUAAUUGUUCAGUUCAGAAAGGAAAAGCUCCUCACCACAUACGGCGGUCAGAAGAAACAUGUGCAACUACUACAUCAACACUAAAUAGCGCUAAAUCAGCACUACCUGCGCUAAUUUGGGAUGGGGAAGUGUAUCAAACAAUAACUUCAGAAGCAAAGGAUAUUAAGGGAAGGAAGCCAGCAGGAGCCAGGUUUAAUGCAUGCUUGUUAGUACAGGGAAGAACUUCUCUGCUGUUCAGCACGUAAAUUACAUUCGCCAUCUAAUCACGCCGCAACGAUCUCAGGUGGUUUAACAUUCAGAUAUGUUUUGUAAACAAUUUACAGUUGAUGCGUAACUCACAACAGCAUUGCCACUGCCUUUAAAUUUGAUCAUAAUGGUGAGGUGAGACCUAAAUGUGAGCCUCCCGCUUUGAUGUCUGACAUAAAUAAUGUACGCAGAGAUCCUCAAACGCUACUCGGCUCCACUGCUGUGGAUUGAAUGUCACAGCUUCACGCUGCUGUGGAGAAGUAACGCCACCAAAAUAACUUGAUCUAGCUAUUUAACCUUGCAAAUAUAUACUAGGAAAUGAGACAAAGUCUGCAAAACAAAAAAAAAACAAAAAAACAAAAAAAAAAAGCAAAAGGGGGGAAGAGGGGGAAGCAUUAAAAAAACAAGGUCGAAAUUGAGUGCAGUCCUUGCAAUUCAGACCCAUAUUUUUUUUCUCAUCGUUUUGUUCCAUCCAAACCCACACAACUGUCUGAACCAGUAAUGGUUAUCGUAACACCAUUACACUCCAGCACAUACAUUUAUAUCUAGUGGUCAAGUACUUCUUCAAAAUAGGAUUAUUGAAUCAGUUGGUACGGAGUCAAACACUGAAGUACAUUCUCAGGCAAAUUCUCACAAAAGAGCUCUAAGUUUUACGCAAGAAAGGACUGACAAAACAUUCAAAAGCCACUCAGAAUCUGCCUGUUCUCCUGCUUUUCAGUGCAAAGGAAAGGAAAAGUAAUGUUUUAAACAUAAAGUAUGAAAUUUCAUAAUUUUUUUUUUUCAAAAGACAUCACUGCAGAUCGAUUUCAUCUGUAGUAACUUCUGCCUGCAAAUUCUACUGACGAGAAUAAUCCUUUCUGUCAAACUGAAUAACAAGCUAAAGGUAUUUCUUCCUAGGUUAUUAACUUCCUAGAGUGCACGCUCAGGGGACAGACAGACAGACUUCCACCAGGAAUGCUCCACCUGAGAUUUCAUGCUCAGACAACUGUAGCAAUACAAAACAGAUGAGGUUGAGCCAGGAGAAAGCAGAUCUUUCAUGGAUGGGAUCCUCUGCACCAAUUCCAACUUGUUGUUCUUGACACUAAAGCUACUCUGAAGUAUUCCUUAAAGCUUGGCUUGUUUUCUAAACCAGCUAGGAGGAAGAUGCCAUCAGCCACUUCAUGCCUCUACAACUGCACUCCAUUUGCUCAAACCAGCUUAAAAAUAAGUCUUUUGAAUAUCUUCCAUCUUGAAAUAUUUCGAGAGAAAAAGGCAAGUAUCGCUGUUUCCUGUCAUUCAUAACUUUCUGAAAUAACAAAUGGAAACCUGGAGACACCAUCCACCGCUGGAUGACACCAUCCAUUUCCUUAAAAGUGGAAUUGGACCAUUUACCAGCUCCGGCAAGGGAGCAUCCUUUGAAGUCUGUAUCCUUCUAGAAAGGACGUUUCUCUUUUGCUGCAGAAGAUGGAUCAUACACCACCACGCACCAUUGCACGUGUAGAAAAUGGAUCCAACUGGCUACGGAGGGACUGGAGGAGAACUAACACAAGAAGAUCACAUGUUUUCCAGGCUCCCUCCUUCUCUAUGGAGAAUACAAACUUCUUUUUCUUUUUUCCCAAAUUAUAAGUUCUCCAGGGGGAAUUUUAUAGGGAUUUUUCUUCGUCGCUCUCUCUUCUUGAUUUUAAUGCACGAAGAAAUAAUUCAUGUCCAGGGAAAGUUGUUCUGAAUCUCACAGGAUUUUGAAUAUUGAUCUAAACAAAGUUUGUUUUUUAUACAGGAGCUGUAACAAGCUAUAUAUUCAACAAAUGCAACACUGUGAUUGGAACAGAGCUAAAAAGUUUGCAUACAUAAAAAAUACAAGGAAAUAAUAAAGCCAUGAGUUCUGCAGUUA